CUGUAAAUCAAGGUUCCCGAUUAAACUGUGUGAAGAAGGUUCCUCGGUGUUGCGUAGUUCUUGCUGGUCAAGGGUAGAAGCGACAAGUGGUGGCCCGUACGGGAAUCAGAACUUCUCACAGUUGGGGUGGCGCUGGAUCAGCAAGACCAGGUGUGGAUUCCAGAGAGACUAAUGAGGCGGUGCAACAAACAAGAUGAAGCCUCCGAUAUUGAUCCUGCUGCUGACCUUGACAACACCGUGGCUGAUCCAGGCCAGAGAACAAAUCCUGUGGGCCAUAGCGAAAGCGUGGCCAAUUCCCUUGCCUGUUCAUAGCACAUCUAAAGUUUUGCCUGUUUUCUUUUCUACUAGCUGUGAAUUGAGCUUGCCUUAUGUAAAUUUAGACCCUGACACUGCCCAGUAUUCAGCCACUAAUAUUUCUCUCCAUGGAGCAUUAUGCUUCUCCCUUAUUAAUAAUUCUAACCCAUGCAUUUGGCUGAAGAAUGGUUCUGUUGGCAAUUGGCUUGACUCCCUUUUACUCAUAACCAGAUCUCGAGCGCUAUGCUCAUUGAAGUCCUGACCCAGAUUAGUACAGGCGCUAGUUCUGGCUCCAGCGCUGGUACAAAUGGGACCAAGGAUGUAAAUAUCACUACAUUUCUGAUGCUGAUAGAGGGGCUCCAACCCUCAAAUUCACGCUUUAGUCAAGAGAACUCCACUGCUCGACAAGUCUUGCCUUAUUGUGCACCCAAUCAAGGGUAUCCUUCUCAUUGGUCGCCCUGUCAGAGUCCGGACCACAAACUUAAACAGAUAGCUCCUGGUUUUGAAUUUACUCCCCCUCUUGGCAGGUAUCAGUAUAACUUAACUCAAGGAGGUUCUCAAAGAACAGGCAGUAAAAAUAACUGGCCAUGGUUUCAAUGGGUACUCUCCAACGAGCGUGGAACGUUUUCUUCUCUUGAACCUUUUGCGGUUCUUCAGAAUCUCUGCAUAAGACUUUUUAAUGUUUCUGGUACUAGGGAUGAGAAGGGACCUUCUCUUAAGAAUCUAUCAAUACAUAAAACUUUGGAUAAUUUCACUGUUCCAGCUAACCCAGUAUGUUUAAAAGCUCCCUUUUUCUUUCUGCUCUCUAAUGCUACUGAUGCUACCAAAGAAGUGAUCUUGUGCAAUUCGACUGACCUCUCCUGCAUUGCUAGUCAGUGUUGGAAUGGUUCUGCUAAUACAGCAGUAGUGAUGAGGAUUCCGAUGUAUGUUCCUAUUCUGGUUAAAGUGGAUACAGGAACAUUUCCCAUUACGGAAAUCAUCAGAACCAAACGGAAUUUUGGCAUAACUGCAGCAUUGGUUACUGCCAUAACCCUUUCUGCAGCAGUGGCUACGACUGCUCAGGUCCAAUCAGCUGAGACAGUCAAUGACAUUGUGGAAAAAAC
rnacentral:lncRNA from 1 species